UACGAAGGUGGCAAGCGUUGUUCGGAUUUACUGGGCGUAAAGGGCGCGUAGGCGGCUCGCUAAGUCGGAUGUGAAAACUCUGGGCUCAACCCAGAGCCUGCAUUCGAAACUGACGAGCUGGAGUUCUGGAGGGGAAAGCGGAAUUCCUGGUGUAGCGGUGAAAUGCGUAGAUAUCAGGAGGAACACCGGUGGCGAAGGCGGCUUUCUGGACAGAAACUGACGCUGAUGCGCGAAAGCUAGGGGAGCAAACAGG
rnacentral:rRNA from 1 species